rnacentral:rRNA from 1 species
GACGUAGGGGGCCAGCGUUGCUCGGAAUUACUGGGCGUAAAGGGUUCGUAGGCGGUGUGGCAAGUCGGUAGUGAAAUCUCCAGGCUUAACUUGGAGGCUGCUGCCGAAACUGCCGUGCUAGAGUGCAGGAGAGGCGAGUGGAAUUACAGGUGUAGCGGUGAAAUGCGUAGAUAUCUGUAGGAACACCCGUGGCGAAGGCGGCUCGCUGGACUGCAACUGACGCUGAGGAACGAAAGCUAGGGGAGCAAACGGG